UACAGAGGCCCCAAGCGUUACUGAGAAUCACUGGGUUUAAAGGGUGCGUAGGUGGCGCGUUAAGUCUGUUGUGAAAUCCCUGGGCUCAACCCAGGAAAUGCUUCGGAUACUGGCGUGCUUGAGGCUAGUAGAGGUCACUGGAACUGACGGUGGAGCGGUGAAAUGCGUAGAUAUCGUCAGGAACGCCGGUGGUGAAGACGGGU
rnacentral:rRNA from 1 species